rnacentral:lncRNA from 10 species
AAAUACAGUCCGGAGUAGGACCGCGCCGAGAAGAUGGCGCCUGUUUUUUCGGGUUCUUGCAGCUGCACAGCUCGGGGACAUCCCUGCUCCGCACUCCGAACCGCUACCCCGCGUCUCCGUGAUCCAGACACAGGCUCAGAGUGAAACUGCCGUAGGACGCUGGCCCUGCACGCUGAAGACAAUCUUCCUCCAUGGUACCGGCCAACCCCAGGGAGUUCCCUGAGAAACAGGAAAAGGUCGCCAGCUUCGGGCCAGAUGUUGACUAGAGCCGCAAGGAUUUUUGGGAACUGUAGUCUAGAGCAGGAAGGGGUGAGGCGCUGGGGCAAGUGGAAGGAGGUCGCUUAAAUGACUUCCUGCCCCAAGCCGACUCAGUGCAGAACGCACCCAGGACCCCGGACUGUACUAGGCGUUAUAACGCUCUCUGAGAAUGCUAGACUGACUAAAUCGUCAUUUUUGCCUUCAUCCGUGGAUAAGCCACAUACUGUAUGACUGCAUUUAUAGGAAAUAUUUAAAAUAGUCAAAUCUACGGAAAAGGAGUUCUUGGGUGUCUCUGGGGAGUCCCUGGGCCAGACCUUCCUCCAGACUCCAGCCCACCU